CCUACGGGAGGCAGCAGUGGGGAAUAUUGCACAAUGGAGGAAACCCUGAUGCAGCGACGCCGCGUGUGGGAAGACGGUCCUCUGGAUUGUAAACCACUGUCCCCAGGGACGAAAAUGACGGUACCUGGGGAGGAAGCUCCGGCUAACUAGGUGCCAGCAGCCGCGGUAAUACGUAGGGAGCGAGCGUUGUCCGGAAUUACUGGGUGUAACGGGAGCGUCGGCGGGGAUGCAAGUUGGGUGUCAAAACUACGGGCUAAACUGGUAGUCGCACUCAAAACUGCAGCUCUUGAGUGAAGUAGAGGUAGGCGGAAUGCGUAGUGUAGCGGUGAAAUGCGUAGAUAUUAGGAGGAACACCAGUGGCGAAGGCGGCCUGCUGGGCUUUUACUGACGCUGAGGCUCGAAAGUGUGGGGAGCAAACAGGAUUAGAUACCCGUGUAGUC
rnacentral:rRNA from 1 species